ACACACACACACACACACACACACACACACACACACACACACACACACACACACACGUCCUCCAGGGAUCACCGAGCCCAGAACGAACCGGCAUCCAAGUGGCCGGCACUCACGCACGUGUUUCCACGACCUGGUGCCCAGACAAAGCUAAGUCCUCUUGCUAACCACACUGUACGUGACGCAUUCAACACCGCUGGGAAAUGGCAAAAGUCGAGCGCGAAAUGGAAAAUAUAAGCUACUAUUUGUUUUGACUGACAGUCAGCAGUUUCUGUCUGGCGGGACUAUUGGGGAGAACCGUAAGUCUGAGUUGAUGACUCUUGAGUUUUGGAUUGCAGAACAGCUGAUCUGAGUAAGUUCAGUCAAACCGGAGUUUGUCCACUGAGUGCUAAAAAGCCAUGAUCUAUGAGUCGUCAUCUCAGACUAUACAUACUCAGAAUUUUCACUUAAAGGCCUACUGAAACCCACUACUACCGACCACGCAGUCUGUUAGUUUAUAUAUCAAUUAUGAAAUAUUAACAUUGCAACACAUGCCAAUACGGCCUUUUUAGUUCAUUCAAUUACAAUUUUCAAUUUCCCGGGGAGUCUCUUGUUGAAAACGUUGCGGAAUGAUGACGCGUGUUUGUGACGUCUCGGGUUGUAGCGGACAUAUUAGACCAGCACCACUUGCUGCUAAACGUCGUCUCUUUUUAUCGCAUGAUUACACAGUAAUUUGGACAUCUGUGUUGCUGAAUCUUUUGCAAUUUGUUCAAUUAAUAAUGGAGACGUCAAAUAAGAAUGCUGUUGGUGGAAAGCGGUGUAUUGCAGCUGUCUUUAGGAAACUGAAACACCGCCGGUGUUUCUUUGUUUGUUGUGAAGCUUUAACACAGAGCGGUCAAGCUAACAUGUUUCUCUACGUCAACCAGCAAGUUUUUGGAUGGGAAAAUUGUGAUAUCAAGUUGGCUCUUACCGGAGACAUCAGUGGAUUUUGCGUCCUCCUGCAGCAGCUAUCCAAAAUGCAGCUGUGAUCUUGGCUCCUCCAUUGGCUUCUCUCAGAGACACAGGCGUUCGCCGCAGCCAUCCGACUUUGAGGUGUUCUGGAUGGUGGCAAUAGACGCGUCUAACACAAUUGAAGUACUUUAGACAUGGUUUUUCACAAAUGCACGGCUUCUGGAUUGUCCCUGCAGACCCAAUUGAAGCACUUCAGACGUGGGGAAAGUGCAAACACCGUGCUUCCCCUGCUGGCUGGCUGCCCUCGAGCGGAACGUGUUGCGUAAACAAAAUUCCACAAAGGGUUUUUUUUCCGUGCCUGUUUUGGUUCUACGGCUGAAGCUGAGGGGCGUCCCUGAGUGCUUUUGUCAUCUGUAAGUGCGUGGACAGCCAGGAUGAAGUCCAUAAAAAGCGGCGUGAGUCAGAAAAUGGAGGUUCGGCAGAUGCUCACGUGUGUAAUUACAAUCAGCGAUAGAAAUGGUCCGGAACAUUCUGUAUGAAAAAAAGCCCCUCGAGCUGCCAGUGUUUCCCAGUCAAUUACAUGUUGACGUGAGGUAAGCCAAUAAGAGAGCAGGUUGUUGGUGCAGACCAAACAUCAACAAUGACAACCUCCCAUCCUUCCAAGUCCAACUGUGAGCCCUGACUAUUUGUUUUUCUGCCGAUCCCUCCCUUGUUCUCUCCCUUCCUCUUCCUUUUGAAGUGCAUUUCUUCGUAUUAUUUCUUGUUUUCCUUUCUUUUCUUGCCCGGAUAAAAAUGCUAAGGAGAUAAUUGCCCAGGGAUUGUUGUGAAAGCACAAACAAAGCGGGUUUGUCAUUCAGUGACAGCGACCUGGGGGGCCCAGCAGGAACUCUGCAGAGAUGAUAUCUCGCUUUAAUAAUGUCCACCUUCAGGCUAUGUCACGCAAUCAGUAUGCAAAACAUUACCGAGUAAGAAAGUGAACAAUUCAAGCCCGGAAAGCACACCUAGAUGUUGUUUUGUACAAUACAUAAAUCCUUAGUGGAUGAAUUAAAUACAAGAGGGUUAGAUUCUAAC